AACGAACGCUGGCGGCAGGCCUAACACAUGCAAGUCGAACGCACCGCAAGGUGAGUGGCGCACGGGUGAGUAACGCGUGGGAACGUGCCCUUCUCUACGGAAUAGCCUCGGGAAACUGAGAGUAAUACCGUAUACGCCCUUCGGGGGAAAGAUUUAUCGGAGAAGGAUCGGCCCGCGUUGGAUUAGGUAGUUGGUGGGGUAAUGGCCUACCAAGCCGACGAUCCAUAGCUGGUUUGAGAGGAUGAUCAGCCACACUGGGACUGAGACACGGCCCAGACUCCUACGGGAGGCAGCAGUGGGGAAUCUUAGACAAUGGGGGAAACCCUGAUCUAGCCAUGCCGCGUGAGUGACGAAGGCCUUAGGGUCGUAAAGCUCUUUCGCUGGGGAAGAUAAUGACGGUACCCAGUAAAGAAACCCCGGCUAACUCCGUGCCAGCCGCCGCGGUAACAC
rnacentral:rRNA from 1 species